rnacentral:lncRNA from 1 species
UAACAAGGAGACAAAUCUAUGGUAAUAAGAUUUAUACAAAUGUAUAUACAUGUACAUGUAGAUGAGUAUUUAUUUACCAGGUAAUCAAUUUAUAAAUAAUAUAUACUUUAAAUCUGUUAAAUGUUUUAAAGUUUUUAAUUACUUUACAUAAAUAUUUACAUAGAUAAUCCAGGAUUAUUGGAAUACAGUAAAUUUAUAGUUUGACAAUUUUCUUACAACAUGACAUGAUGUAGUAAUAAGAUUAAGUACAACUUUACAUCUAAAUAACUGGAACAAGGAUAUUACCUUGACAUUUGUCCUUUUUUAUUUCAGAAGAUAACUGGACGGGACAUGGACUAUUUGAAAUUAGCUGGAGCAGGGGCCAUAACUCUAAGUGCUGUUUCCACAGCAACAUAUUUAUAUCUGACACAGAAUCCAAAUCCUGUUCCUUCAGCUGUAGACCUGAACAACCAAACCAUAAUAAUCAAGG